AGUUGCUUGACAAAGUCAUAGAGUCGUGUGCCCUUGUUGCAGCUCGUUCAGACAAGUUUUUAUCAUGCUUUCACGAAAACUUGUCAUUUUUUGCAUGUUUAUAGCGUAAAUGUUGCUCUGUAAUACUUAAGCCCAUGCUUGAGCAGUUCUACAAGUUAGCCUCGCAUUUUUUAAGACAUCUCAAGCUCAUGCAUAAGUGGUUCUGCGAUUAGUCACGCUUUUUCAAGAAUUCAAGCUUAUGAUUUAGUUAGCUCGGUGACUAGUCUCGCAUUUUUGUUUAGGACAUCCCUAGCUCGUGUUUAGGAAAAUGGGGAGUUUAUCCAAGUAAAUAGUUUUAGAAAGGGAUGUUGUACUUUUUAUUGACCGAGAUGGGGGUUCUUUUCACAAAGUUCAAAUUAAGUCAUUUUUGUGUAAUUUGGAGAAAAUAUUUAAUUUUGAUAAUAGUGAAAAAUAAUAUUUAAUUUAAGCAAAAUUUUUUUAUAAGUGUAAUUGUUAUACAUACAGGCUCGGUUAAGAGAGAGUUACACUUUACUGAUAAUACUUCCUCAAGUUGUUGAAAUUCCAAGGUCUCAGGACUUAUUUGCCUUCGGGGGUUUUAAGGUAAUAAGCUCCCUUGCCGGCGAGUUUAGUUAUCUUGUAUGACCAUUCCCAAUUUUGACCGAGCUUUCCUUCUAUUGGGUCCUUGGUAUAUCCAACAACUAUUCUCAAAAUGAGAUCUCCAACUAAAAAUUGUUUAUUUUGGACCUUUUGCUUGUAUGUCUUAGCUAACUAAUUCUAGUAGUCUGCCAUUCGUAUCAAUGCAUAUUCUCUUCCUUCAUCAACAAGAUCAAGGUCACAAGCUAAAACUCCCGUAUUAUGACUGACGUGGGUCCACCCUUAUCACAUGUGUCAUUGUGAUCGACUAAUGAGAUCACUCACUAAGACCUACUACUCAACUAGUUUAGGAAUUUUUCUAGCAUUUAAGAAAAUUAUAUUCAAAUACAAUAAUAUAUACAGAAGCAUAUUUUAAAUUUUCCAAAGCCAACGUGACAUACAAAAAUAUACGAAUAGAUUUACAUUCUUCCUGAAUAUAAAUUUGUAAAAAUAUUUGGGUUUAAAUAGGUUGGGAACAAUCUGAAUCGGUUAGAGAAAAAUUGGAUCGGCUCAGGACACAAUAAUAGGUUUUUUGGAAAGUUGGACCAGUCAGAAUAAAGCUGGACAGAUCCAGGAGAAGUUAGAAGAUUUAUUAAAAAAGUUAGACCGGUCAGGGAAAUGCUGGACUGGUCUGGGACAAGACAAAGUUUUUGGCUUGACUUCCAAGCCUAUUUUGAGCUAUUAAACCUCUAAAUUAGGAAUAAUACUUAAAAUAAAAGUUGUUAGCUCAGUGACUAGUCUCGCAUUUUUCUUUAGGACAUCCCUAGCUCGUGUUUAGGAAAAUAGGGAGUUUAUCCAAGUAAAUAUUUUUAGAAAGGGGUGUUGUACUUUCUAUUGACCGAGAUGGGGGUUCUUUCCAAAAAUUUCAAAUUGAGUCAUUUUUGUGUAAUUUAGGGGAAGUAUUUAAUUUUGAUAAUAGUGGAAAAUAAUAUUUAAUUUAAGCAACAAUUUUUUAUAAGUAUAAUUGAUAUACAUACGGGCUCGGUUAAGAGAGUUACACUUUAUUGAUAAUACUUCCUCAAGUUGUUGAAAUUCCAAGGUCUCAGGACUUAUUUGCCUUCGGGGGUUUUAAGGUAAUAAGCGCCUUUGCCGGUGAGCUUAGCUAUCUUGUAUGAUCAUUCCCAAUUUGGACUGAGCUUUCCUUUUGCUGGGUCCUUGGUAUUUCCAACAACUUUCCUCAAAACAAAAUCUCUAACUAAAAUUUGUCUAUGUUGGACUUUUUGGUUGUAUGUCUUAGCUCACUACUUCUAGUAGUCUGCCAUCCGUAUCAACACAUAUUCUCUUCCUUCAACAACAAGAUCAAGGUCCCAAGUUAAAACUCCUGUAUUAUGUCUGAUGUUAUGUCACGCCCCAACCCAUUUAUGCACGUGGGUCCACCCUUAUCACAGGUGUCAUUAUGACCGAUAAAUGAGAUCACUCACUAAAGUCUACUACUCAACUAGUUUAAAAAUUUUUCUAUCAUUUAAGAAAAUUAUAUUCAAAUACAAUAAUAUAUACAGAAGCUUAUUUUAAAUUCUCCAAAGCCAACGUGACAUACAAAAAUAUACGAAUAGAUUUACAUUCUUCCUGAAUAUAAAUUUGUAAAAAUAUUUGGGUUUACAUAGGUUGGGAACAAUCUGAAUCGGUUAGAGAAAAAUUGGAAUUGCUCAGGACACAAUAAUAGGUUUUUUGGAAAGUUGGACCAGUCAGAAUAAAGCUGGACAGAUCCAGGAGAAGUCAGAAGAUUUAUUAAAAAAGCUAGACCGGUCAGGGAAAUGCUGGACUGGUCCGGGACAAGACAAAGUUUUUGGCUUGACUUCCAAGCCUAUUUUGAGCUAUUAAACCUCUAAAUUAGGAAUAAUACUUAAAAUAAAAGUUGUUAGCUCAGUGACUAGUCUUGCAUUUUUCUUUAGGACAUCCCUAGCUCGUGUUUAGGAAAAUAGGGAGUUUAUCCAAGUAAAUAGUUUUAGAAAGGGGUGUUGUACUUUCUAUUGACCGAGAUGGGGGUUCUUUCCAAAAAGUUCAAAUUGAGUCAUUUUUGUGUAAUUUAGGGGAAGUAUUUAAUUUUGAUAAUAGUGGAAAAUAAUAUUUAAUUUAAGCAACAAUUUUUUAUAAGUAUAAUUGAUAUACAUACGGGCUCGGUUAAGAGAGUUACACUUUAUUGAUAAUACUUCCUCAAGUUGUUGAAAUUCCAAGGUCUCAGGACUUAUUUGCCUUCGGGGGUUUUAAGGUAAUAAGCGCCUUUGCCGGUGAGCUUAGCUAUCUUGUAUGAUCAUUCCCAAUUUGGACUGAGCUUUCCUUUUGCUGGGUCCUUGGUAUUUCCAACAAUUUUCCUCAAAACAAAAUCUCUAACUAAAAAUUGUCUAUGUUGGACUUUUUGGUUGUAUGUCUUAGCUCACUACUUCUAGUAGUUUGCCAUCCGUAUCAACACAUAUUCUCUUCCUUCAACAACAAGAUCAAGGUCCCAAGUUAAAACUCCUGUAUUAUGUCUGAUGUUAUGUCACGCCCCAACCCAUUUAUGCACGUGGGUCCACCCUUAUCACAGGUGUCAUUAUGACCGACAAAUGAGAUCACUCACUAAAGUCUACUACUCAACUAGUUUAAAAAUUUUUCUAUCAUUUAAGAAAAUUAUAUUCAAAUACAAUAAUAUAUACAGAAGCUUAUUUUAAAUUCUCCAAAGCCAACGUGACAUACAAAAAUAUACUAAUAGAUUUACAUUCUUCCUGAAUAUAAAUUUGUAAAAAUAUUUGGGUUUAAAUAGGUUAGGAACAAUCUGAAUCGGUUAGAGAAAGCUGGAUUGGUUCAGGACACAAUAAUAGGUUUUUUGGAAAGUUGGACCGAUCAGAAUAAAGCUAGACAGAUUUAGGACAAGUCAGAAGAUUUAUUAAAAAAACUGGACCGGUCAGGGAAAUGCUAGACUGGUCCAGGACAAGACAAAUUUUUUGGCUUGACUUCUAAUGCUAUUUUGAGCUAUUAAAUCUCUAAAUUAGGAAAAAUUCUUAAAAUAAAAGUUAUAGGUAUUUGAAAUACCUUUCAUAUACAACUCAAAUCAAGUCAACCGGCUGUCGUAUGAAGGACUUACUUCCAAAAUACUUACUGCUAGUCCAGUGAGUAAAAUAGUCUACCAACCUAUUCAAAGUUCGAUUCUAGAAGGGUGUGCAAAUGAUAAAAUUUGAGAUAUUUUGGAAGAUUAAUUAUGCUAGACAUGAGUUUCAAUUAUAGAUGCAAAAUGAAAGAAUUUAUCAAAGAAACAAACAGGGAGAAAUUGAAUUUACCUCAAUAGGAAACAAAAUUGAUUUUUCGGUGUCGAGUUCUACGUCGUUUUCUUUUUUCCUUUACUUUUUCUUUCUUUCUUUUCUUAUUUCUUUCUUCCUUUCUCUUCCUCUAUCAAGCUUUCUCUCAACUUUCUCUCUUUAUUUCUCUCCUUCUUUCUCUUUCUGUCUUUCUCUUUCCUUUCUUUGUUCAUGAAUGUCCCCAACAAUUUUACUAGGGGACAAGACUUAUGUGUGUGGGUUUGAUUGACAUUUUUUUUUUUUGGGGGGGGGGGGGGGGGGGAAUGGUUGGCUAGGGUAUGGGCUAAGGUAUGGCUCAAGGUGUGAGUCACCCAAAUCAUGUGUCCCUCAUGGCGCCAUAUACUCUCGCUUUAAUUGCUCGACACGUGUCUCAAUUUUUGUUCAGUUUAUCAAAAAAAAUUAUUCAGGUAUAACUUUUGUCAUCGUAAAAAUUUUAAAAAAAUUUAAAUUGCUAUCGGUAUAAUUAUAUUUUUACCCUUACUAUAUUAAAGUAAAAUUAAUUUAUGGGUCGGGGUAUUAUAUUUUUUCCACCUUAUGAAGUUUAGUCCUCCAAACUUGUUCUACGAUGUGUCUCUAUCAUUAACUAUAUUAUGUCCAUGGCUCAGCUCGAUCUUUAUUAACAAUUCUACUAAUGACAAAGUAACUAGGUUUAAGUUUAAGUUAUACCUGAUUCAAAGAGAUGCGGGUAUUUAUGUUGCAUAUCACUCUCUUUCUCCCAAGUUGCUUAUCAUGUUGAUUGGUUUUCUCACCAGACUUUAACCAAUAAAAAACUUUUGCUUCUGAGUUAUUUUACUCUAGUGUCCAUGAUAUGCACUGGCCAUUCUUCAUAUUGUAAAUUCUUCUCUAACUCUAUCGAAGAUUGUUCCAACACGUGAGUUGGAUCUGCAACGUACUUCCUAAGCAUGGAUACAUGAAAAACGUUGUGAACAUUUGCAAGUUCUGGGGUUAAGGCAUGCCGAUAUGCAAAUGGUCCUAUCUUCUCAAGAUUUUUGAAUGGUCCAACGUAACAUGGAUUUAGUUUUCCCCUCUUCCUGAAUCUUAUAACUCUCUUCAUUGGUGAGAUAUUCAAGAAUACCUAAUUGCCUUCUUGAAAAUCCAUAUCUCUUCUAUUUGCAUCCGCAUAGCUAUUUUGCCAAUCCUGUGCAACUUUCAAUCUUUCUUGAAUCACCUUGAUAUUCUUUGUGGUCUCCAGCACAAUAUCUAGUCCGAUAUUUUUUCUCUCUAACCUUUGUCCAACAAGAUGGUGACCUGCAUUUUUUGCCAUAUAACACCUCGAAAGGUGCUAUGCCAGUACUUGUUUGGUAGCUAUUAUUGUAAGUAAAUUCUGCCAAGGGUAGAUGUUCUUCCCAGCUACCUUGGAAUUCCAUCGCGCAUGCUCGUAGAAAAUCUUCAAGCAUUUGUAUAGUCCUUUCCGAUUAUCCGUCAGUCUAUGGGUGAAAAGCGGUGCUUAAAUUCAAUUUCGUCCCUAUUGCCCUAUGUAACGAUUUCCAGAAUCUUGAUACGAAUCUUGGAUCUCGAUUUGAUGUAAUUGAUACUAGAGCUUCAUGUAGUCGUACGAUUUUCUUCAUGUAGGUAGUCGUCAUUUGAUCCAUUGUGUGUGUAUUCCUGAUUGGGAUAAAGUGUGCCAUCUUGGUUAAACAAUCGACUAUGACCCAAAUUGAAUUAUUCCCCUUCAUUGUACAAGGAAAGCCUACAACGUAAUCCAUCGUGAUAUCCUCCCAUUUUCACUUUGAUACGGUAGUAGUUGAAGUAAUCUCGCUGGCUUCUGGCAUACAGCCUUGAUCCGCUGACAUUGCAAAAUACCGGUUGACGUAUCCCUUGAUGUCUCGCUUCAUGCCUAUCCAGUAAUACAUCUUCUUCAAGUCUUGAUACAUCUUCAUCAUUCCCAGAUGAAUUUCCCACUUUGGCUUGUGUCUCUUGUCCACUAUUUGUUGCUUGAUGUCGGAAAUAUCUCGUGCACCACAUAUUCUAUUCUAAAAUUUAAAAACACCAUCGAUCAUUUUAAACUCUAAAUUCAGUUUUGCCGACAAAUUGUCGUGAAUCAUCUUGAGUUUGAGGUCCUGCAUUUGCCUCAUUUUGAUUUCCUACAAGAUUGUUGGCUCUGCAACCAUUGCCGCACACAUGCCUUCUCUUCCCGAGUUAUUAUUUCUAGUUUCAACUCCUCUAUUUCUCUAAGUAAACCACGUUGCUCUGCCAAUAAGAUGUUUAACUUCUUGAUUUCCUUUCAACUCAAAGUGUCUAUUAUAAUGUUUGCCUUUCCCAAAUGAUAUUGAAUGUUAAUGUCGUAAUCCUUCAUUAGCUCCAGCCAUCUUCGUUGUCUAAAAUUUAACUCAUUCUGUGUAUAAAUGUACUUCAAACUUUUAUGAUCAGUGUAGACCUUGCAUUUUACUCCAUACAAAUAAUGUCACCAAAUCUUCAAAGUGAAAAUAACCGCUGCCAACUCUAGGUCGUGAGUAGGAUAAUUCUUCUUGUGUGUCUUCAACUAUCAUGACGUGUAAACGAUAACCUUCCCAUGUUGCAUCAAAAUGCAUCCAAGCCCUUAAUGUGAUGCAUCACUAUAAAUGGAAAAUCCUUCUGUGUCCUCCGGUAGUGCAAGUAUUGGCGCUGUAGUAAGCCUCUUCUUCAACUCUUGAAAACCUCGCUCACAUUUCUCUGUCCAAACAAAUGGUUCUCCUUUGCAAGCCAACUCAGUCAAUGGUACUACAAUUUUUGAGAAGCCAUGAAUAAAUCUUCUAUAAUAACUAUCAAGUCCCCAAAAGCUCUAAACUUCAAACACCGUCAUCAGUUGUGGCCAAUCUACGAUUACCUCAAUUUUUCAUGGGUCUACAAAAACCCCAUCUUUGUUGAUAAUAUGACCUAAAAAUAAUACACUGUCAAGCUAGAAUUCUCACUUUUUGAAUUUGGCAUACAACUCUUGGUCCUUUAGUAUCUACAACACAAUCUUCAAGUGUUCUGCAUGUUGUUCCUCAUUUUUUGAAUAGAUAAGGAUGUCAUUAAUGAAUACGAUCACGAACUUAUCUAAGUAACUUUUGAAAAUACGAUUCAUUAAAUCCAUGAAUGAUGCUGGUACGUUGGUCACUCCAAAUGGCAUCACUAAAAACUCAUAAUGUCUAUAUCGGGUCCAAAAAGCUAUCUUCUCAAUGUGUUCUGACUUCUCCUUGAGUUGAUGAUAGCCGAAAAGCAAAAUAAUCUUUGAAAAAUACUUGAGUCCCUUUUAGUUGGUCAAAUAAAUCAUCGAUUCUUGGUAAUGGAUAUUUAUUCUUAAUUGUAACUCUGUUCAACUUGCAGUAGUCGAUACACAAUCUCAUUGUCUCAUCUUUCUUCUUCACAUUUAACACCAGUGCUCCCCACGGCAAUGAACUUGGUCAUAUGAAUCCUUUGUCUAGUAGUUUUUGCAAUUGUAUCUUUAACUCCUUCAACUCUGCAGGAGCCAUAUGGUAUGGUGCUUUAGAAAUUGGAUGAGUUCCGUGCGUAACCUCAAUGGUAAAUUCAAUCUUUCUAUUCACAGGCAUUCCUAGUAACUCCCAAGGAAAUACCUCCGAAAACUCAUAGACUAUAGGAAUAUCCGUCAUGGAUAAUCCUUCUGACGAAAACA
rnacentral:lncRNA from 1 species